rnacentral:lncRNA from 1 species
CAGCUGGCAGUGGCAAUCCUCUCCGGUCCCCUUCCGGGCUGUGGGAGCUUUGUUCUUUUGCUCUUUGCAAUAAAUCUUGCUGCUGCUCGCUCUUUGGGUCCACAUUGCCUUUGUGAGCUGUAACACUCACGGCGAAGGUCUGCAGCUUCACUCCUAAAGCCAGAGAGACCACAAACCCACCGGGAGGAACGAACAACUCCAGACGCGCGGCCUUAAGAGCUGUAACACUCACCGCGAAAGUCUGCAGCUUCACUCCUAAAGCCAGCGAGACCACGAACCCACCAGGAGGAACGAACAAUUCCAGAUGCGCCGCCUUAGGAGCUGUAACACUCACCGCGAAGAUCUGCAGCUUCACUCCUGAGCCGGCGAGACCACGAACCCCACCAGAAGGAAGAAACUCCGGACACGCCGCCUUUAAGAACUAUAACACUCACGGCGAGGGUCCACGGCUUCAUUCUUGAAGUCAGUGAAACCAAGAACCCACCAAUUCCGGACACAGCAGGAUCCCACCCACAGAACCGCCAGGUGCACAGCUGCAUAUCCUCAGGGGAAAACUCCCCUCCCCUGCCACCUUACUGAUAGGCUUCACUUCCCAGAGAACUUUCCCAAUCCUGUGCAAUGCCUGAGUGGUACAUUGUAUUCUAUGAGAAUGGCGCCCCCGCCUCCAGAGUUGUGCAACAAGACUUCCAUGAAUCAAAGCCCAUCGCUGGCUGCCUCCUCUAGCCCUGCAUAGCCCAGGUACAUCUGAAAGGAGUGAGAAGUGUUUUGAGGGCUCUCCCUGUCUCUUCCUGCACCUCUCUCUUGUGAUCCCAGAAGCUACAACCUCAGCCCAGAUUAGCAGGCUGAGGGGUCAGGAGGCUGUCACUGGAGCUGUUGAGCUCAUGAACACGCCGAAGUUGCUGCGCUCCAGAAAUGUGGAAGUUGGAAUGAAGAGCCACCACUGCUGCCACCAACAUGAAGCUUGACCAAGCAAGCCAAGAAAAGAUGGCCAAGAGCCUCUGCCUUCCUUCUGCCUUCUGCAACGCAAUGGUGAGCUGCACAUCCACAACUUGAAGGGAGUCUGGGAAAUGCAGAGUUAAACUUUCUAGCCUCUCUAAGCUUUCAACUGUUACAGAAAGGCAACCCAGGAGGAGACUGGAAUAAAUGCUGAGUGCCAAUUUCCAA